AACGAACGCUGGCGGCAGGCCUAACACAUGCAAGUCGAGCGAAGCCUUCGGGCUUAGCGGCGGACGGGUGAGUAACGCGUGGGAACGUGCCCUUUGGUACGGAAUAGCCCCGGGAAACUGGGAGUAAUACCGUAUGUGGUCGAGAGACGAAAGAUUUAUCGGCAAAGGAUCGGCCCGCGUUGGAUUAGGUAGUUGGUGGGGUAAUGGCCUACCAAGCCGACGAUCCAUAGCUGGUUUGAGAGGAUGAUCAGCCACACUGGGACUGAGACACGGCCCAGACUCCUACGGGAGGCAGCAGUGGGGAAUCUUAGACAAUGGGGGAAACCCUGAUCUAGCCAUGCCGCGUGAUCGAUGAAGGCCUUAGGGUUGUAAAGAUCUUUCAGGUGGGAAGAUAAUGACGGUACCACCAGAAGAAGCCCCGGCUAACUCCGUGCCAGCAGCCGCUGUAACAC
rnacentral:rRNA from 1 species